UGCAAGUCGCGUGCGCAGUCUGUAGCAAUACAGGCCGGCGCACGGCGCACGGGUGCGUAACACGUGGGCAAUCUGCCCUCCGAUGGGGAAUAACCCCGCGAAAGCGGGGCUAAUACCGCAUAAAAUUCCUUGGACCAUGGUCCGAGGAUUCAAAGCAGUAAUGCGUCGGAGGAGGAGCCCGCGCCCGAUUAGCUAGUUGGCGAGGUAACGGCUCACCAAGGCAAUGAUCGGUAGCUGGUCUGAGAGGAUGAUCAGCCACACUGGAACUGAGACACGGUCCAGACUCCUACGGGAGGCAGCAGUGGGGAAUCUUGCACAAUGGGCGAAAGCCUGAUGCAGCGACGCCGCGUGGGGGAUGAAGCAUUUCGGUGUGUAAACCCCUUUCGACCGGGAAGAAUGCCUCGCAAGAGGAUUGACGGUACCGGUAUAAGAAGCCCCGGCUAACUACGUGCCAGCAGCCGCGGUAAGACGUAGGGGGCCAGCGUUGUUCGGAAUUACUGGGUGUAAAGGGUUCGUAGGCGGUGCGGCAAGUUGGGAGUGAAAUCUCUGGGCUUAACCCAGAGGCUGCUUCCAAAACUGCUGUGCUUGAGUGUGGGAGAGGCGCGUGGAAUUGCAGGUGUAGCGGUGAAAUGCGUAGAUAUCUGCAGGAACACCCGUGGCGAAAGCGGCGCGCUGGACCACAACUGACGCUGAGGAACGAAAGCUAGGGGAGCAAACAGGAUUAGAUACCCUGGUAGUCCUAGCCCUAAACGAUCAGGACUUGGGGUGGCACCCGUUUGGGUGUCGUCCCGUAGCUAACGCGUUAAGUCCUGCACCUG
rnacentral:rRNA from 1 species